rnacentral:rRNA from 1 species
GUUGCCGACCACAGGGCCGUGGAACCACCCAUACCCAUUCCGAAAGUGAAAAAGACCGGGCGCAUGGAAGUUAAACGCGGUUCCGUCCUGGGCUGUAGUGUCGUCUUCGGGAGACGCGAAACCCAGGAAGUUGGCAACC